UGCCAGACUCCUACGGGAGGCAGCAGUGGGGAAUAUUGCACAAUGGGGGAAACCCUGAUGCAGCAACGCCGCGUGAGUGAUGACGGCCUUCGGGUUGUAAAGCUCUGUCUUCAGGGACGAUAAUGACGGUACCUGAGGAGGAAGCCACGGCUAACUACGUGCCAGCAGCCGCGGUAAUACGGAGGAUGCGAGCGUUAUCCGGAUUUAUUGGGUUUAAAGGGUGCGUAGGCGGCGCUUCAGGUCAGCGGUGAAAUACCGGGGCUCAACCCCGGGGCUGCCGUUGAAACCGGAGCGCUAGAAUUCCGAUGCCGUCGGAGGAAUGUGUGGUGUAGCGGUGAAAUGCAUAGAUAUCACACAGAACACCGAUUGCGAAGGCAUCUGACGAAUCGGAGAUUGACGCUGAUGCACGAAAGCGUGGGUAUCGAACAGGAUUAGAUACCCCCGUAGU
rnacentral:rRNA from 1 species